rnacentral:rRNA from 1 species
UGAAUGCGCGGACUUCAGAGAUUAGAGUUUGAUCAUGGCUCAGGAUGAACGCUAGCGGCGUACCUAAUGCAUGCAAGUCGAACGGGAUCCCUGGAUUCGUCUAGGGUGAGAGUGGCGAACGGGUGAGUAACACGUUGGUGACCUGCCCCAAAGAGGGGGAUAACCAUUGGAAACGAUGGCUAAUACCCCAGAUGUUAUUGUGUUUAGAAAGCAAUGACUAAAGCUCCGGCGCUCUGGGAGGGGCCUGCGGCCCAUCAGCUAGUUGGUAGGGUAAUGGCCUACCAAGGCGAAGACGGGUAGGGGGCGUGAGAGCGUGACCCCCCACACUGGUACUGACACACGGACCAGAUACCUGCGGGUAGCAGCAGCAAGGAAUAUUGCCCAAUGGACGAAAGUCUGAGGCAGCAACGCCGCGUGGAGGAUGAAGGCCUUCGGGUUGUAAACUCCUUUUCUAGGGGAAGAGAAAGGACGGUACCCUAGGAAUAAGAUCCGGCUAACUACGUGCCAGCAGCCGCGGUAAAACGUAGGGAUCGAGCGUUAUCCGGAUUUACUGGGCGUAAAGCGCGUGCAGGCGGUUUUCUAAGUCGGACGUGAAAGCUCCUGGCUCAACUGGGAGAGGCCGUUCGAAACUAGGAGACUUGAGGGUGGUAGAGGAGAGUGGAAUUCCCGGUGUAGUGGUGAAAUGCGUAGAUAUCGGGAGGAACACCAGUGGCGAAGGCGGCUCUCUGGGCCAUUCCUGACACUCAGAUGCGAAAGCCAGGGGAGAGAACGGGAUUAGAAACCCCGGUAUUCCUGGCUGUAAACGAUGUCAACUAGGUGUAGGGGGUAUCCAAUCCCUCUGUGCUGUAGCUAACGCGUUAAGUUGACCGCCUGGGGACUACGGCCGCAAGGUUAAAACUCAAAGGAAUUGACGGGGACCCGCACAAGCAGCGGAGCGUGUGGUUUAAUUCGAGGCUACGCGAAGAACCUUACCAGGGUUUGACAUACUGGUGGUAGGAAUGUGAAAACC